AAACCCAGUGUGUUUCGACACACUAUCAUUAACUGAAUCCAUAGGUUAAUGAGGCGAACCGGGGGAACUGAAACAUCUAAGUACCCCGAGGAAAAGAAAUCAACCGAGAUUCCCCCAGUAGCGGCGAGCGAACGGGGAGCAGCCCAGAGCCUGAAUCAGUAUGUGUGUUAGUGGAAGCGUCUGGAAAGGCGCGCGAUACAGGGUGACAGCCCCGUACACAAAAAUGCACAUGCUGUGAGCUCGAUGAGUAGGGCGGGACACGUGGUAUCCUGUCUGAAUAUGGGGGGACCAUCCUCCAAGGCUAAAUACUCCUGACUGACCGAUAGUGAACCAGUACCGUGAGGGAAAGGCGAAAAGAACCCCGGCGAGGGGAGUGAAAAAGAACCUGAAACCGUGUACGUACAAGCAGUGGGAGCACGCUUAGGCGUGUGACUGCGUACCUUUUGUAUAAUGGGUCAGCGACUUAUAUUCUGUAGCAAGGUUAACCGAAUAGGGGAGCCGAAGGGAAACCGAGUCUUAACUGGGCGUUAAGUUGCAGGGUAUAGACCCGAAACCCGGUGAUCUAGCCAUGGGCAGGUUGAAGGUUGGGUAACACUAACUGGAGGACCGAACCGACUAAUGUUGAAAAAUUAGCGGAUGACUUGUGGCUGGGGGUGAAAGGCCAAUCAAACCGGGAGAUAGCUGGUUCUCCCCGAAAGCUAUUUAGGUAGCGCCUCGUGAAUUCAUCUCCGGGGGUAG
rnacentral:rRNA from 1 species